rnacentral:lncRNA from 1 species
GUACCAGAGAUUGAACUCAGGACCUUGCACUUGCGAGGCAGGAACAGUGCUGCUGAGCUAAAUCCCUGGCCCAGUACUUUAAUUUCUAUGUGUAAUUUGUAUGCUUUUGUUUCCCUAGAUAACACAAAUCUGUGUCACUGGCUGGGUGUAAUGCAAGGAAGGGACAAAGAUGAAAUGGAAACAUCUUCCUUUUUUGGUCAUAAUAUCACUCCUCAGAGUGUCAAACCACAACCUGCUUCUGGCCCAGCUUAUUCCAGGUAGGUAGCAUGCUCUUGUUUCAUCAGGAUUUAACCAGUGUUCCUUCCACGCUUUGAG